UGCUACAAUGGCGCAUACAAAGAGAAGCGACCUCGCGAGAGCAAGCGGACCUCCUAAAGUGCGUCGUAGUCCGGAUUGGAGUCUGCAACUCGACUCCAUGAAGUCGGAAUCGCUAGUAAUCGUGGAUCAGAAUGCCACGGUGAAUACGUUCCCGGGCCUUGUACACACCGCCCGUCACACCAUGGGAGUGGGUUGCAAAAGAAGUAGGUAGCUUAACCUUCGGGAGGGCGCUUACCACUUUGUGAUUCAUGACUGGGGUGAAGUCGUAACAAGGUAACCGUAGGGGAACCUGCGGUUGGAUCACCUCCUUA
rnacentral:rRNA from 1 species